rnacentral:rRNA from 1 species
CCUACGGGUGGCUGCAGUGGGGAAUAUUGGACAAUGGGGGGAACCCUGAUCCAGCCAUGCCGCGUGUGUGAAGAAGGCCCUCGGGUUGUAAAGCACUUUCAGUGAGGAAGAACGCCUGGUGGUUAAUACCCAUCAGGAAAGACAUCACUCACAGAAGAAGCACCGGCUAACUCCGUGCCAGCAGCCGCGGUAAUACGGAGGGUGCGAGCGUUAAUCGGAAUUACUGGGCGUAAAGCGCGCGUAGGUGGCUUGAUAAGCCGGUUGUGAAAGCCCCGGGCUCAACCUGGGAACGGCAUCCGGAACUGUCAAGCUAGAGUGCAGGAGAGGAAGGUAGAAUUCCCGGUGUAGCGGUGAAAUGCGUAGAGAUCGGGAGGAAUACCAGUGGCGAAGGCGGCCUUCUGGACUGACACUGACACUGAGGUGCGAAAGCGUGGGUAGCAAACAGGAUUAGAUACCCUCGUAGUC